CCAAAAACUUUAAGCAAAUAAUGUUUAUUUUUAUAUUGAUGAUACACUUAAUAUAUACGUAGAUUCAAGAUACAAAAUUCAUUUACAAGAGUUCACACCUGAUGAAUGUAGUCACAUUCCUAGAGAACAUUUAUCAAUGCAAAAAUGUCUUCCAUACAUUGACAACAAAAAUCAUAUAUUCUGUAAUCUUGUUAUUCAAUAAACAUCAAAACAACAUUUAACUUUCCAGCCUCUAGUAUCUAAGUGCCCUCAAGGUGGCAGGCACCAUAUAACAGAAGAAAACAUUGGAAAGACAAGGGCCUACUGAGUCUCUCUGCAGAAUCACAGUGUUUACUCUGAAAUUUUUAGUGAAAUAGUUAGUGAAAAGGCUUGCUAUCCUUUAUGACAAAUCACAUAUCAUACAAGAGUCAAAAGUGAUGAACUCAAGAAAAUAAAAUGUUUCAAUAACUUCUCAAUUUCUAAAAUCUAUGAAAUAUUAACCAUAACAGACAAAGCAGUAAAAGGCUGCUGAAAAGGAAGAAAACGGGAAAACACCCUUAAAAGUAUGUAUGGCUUAAGCAAUUUAGAAACACAACAGACAAGACUUUUACAAUACCACAAAAGUUCAAGUCAAAUGAUGUUGACAAUAUAAGUUUCCCCCUUAGUCACUGGUAGUAAAUAGCCCCUUCAAAAUUUAUUCUACUGAUAACACAUAUAAAACUAAUGAAUCCAAAUGUUUUGCUGUCUCACAGAGCUGAGUUGAUGGAUUUUGUUCUAAAGUAUUAACCCACAACACCCAAAAUUUAAUACAAAUGAGCAACAAGACUAUGUCUCAAGGAUUACAGUGAUUUGUGAAUAGCUAGAUAGGCAACCAAUUAGCUUCAUAUUUGCACGACAGAUUAGCAGCACUUGGAUAAGAACUGUUACAUGAAAAUUAUUGUGCUUCAAUCUCUUGAGGAGAGCUAAUAAAUAUAACUCUAUAAUCCCUAUAGUGUUACAAUUCUAUAACAUUUCAGUUACAGACGAGCACAAUUUUUUAAGUAUUUCACACCACUAGAAAAUCAAGUAAUUAUAUUCUGCAAAUGUAAUUUCUGCUAUGAUUGAAACAAGUGCAUUUCUGCCUAAUAUCCAUAAUAUAGACAAUAGGUUCACAAGUUGGCACUGCAUAUACUUACUAUCCUUUUAUCCUCCCCCACCGUCAUCUUUGGUAGAGGUUUGAUGGCCCAGAUUUUAUAGCACACCAUGCACCUAAUAUUAAGAAUCCUAUUUCAUGUGUGAAUAUAUCAUCAAUUUGCAGAACAAAAGUGGUCUCACAGAGACAAAUAAAUACAACGGGAGGCAUUUUAUUCACUGGAAGCAUAGUCUCAGAUGAGCAUACUCAUCUUCGAUAUGCAACACCAAUAAGAAAAAUCAAUAGUCGGAAAUGCCAACACAGGACUAAAUUAAUCACAGCUGCUGCAAAUAUACAGAUUAACAACCUCCUGUCCCACAUUAAAUUCCACCCCACCUAGGUAAAGCCUUUCCCUAGCUAAUGCCCCUUUUUCUGCCUCACAGAGACAGACAUAAAAUGAGACACAUCAGUAAAAAAAAAAAAAAAAUUGUCCCAAAAUUAAAAUUCAGUAUUAGGUAUUGAAAUUGCAACUAGGAACAUAUUUCCCAAUUUAAAGGACAUUUUCCUAUCUAUUUUGAAAUGUGAUCAAAGUAGUUUUUUCCACAGUCCCUUGAUUCUCAAUAUAAAUACUACUCAGUAAUAAUACUUAACAAGAGGUCAAGAAAAUAAAGGACUAAUAUAGCUUAAGAACCUGCUGGUGUCUCAGUUUCACAUACUUAGGUUUUUCAGGUUUAUAUCACUAAUUUAUCCUCAGUUUAAAUGAAAAUUGGCAGAUGAUUUUAAAGCUAAGAAUAUCCAGCUUUCUGUUAAGAUCUUCAUAGCCUAAUUUCAACUCCAAAGUAGCCCAUUUUACCCAAACACAAGCCCCUCAAAAUAGAGGCUUAUGAAUGAGAUACAGUCACAACCUAAUUAACAGCAGCAUGAACAAUGCCACUAUGAUGUCCUCACAGAACUUAAAUAAAUUCAGCCCACAAUGGGUAUGGGUAUAUAAUAUACACAUACUGUAUCACUGCAUACCAGUAUAUUUACAAAUAUG
ensembl:lncRNA